rnacentral:siRNA from 1 species
ACUCAUCUAAUUAGUCAAAUGCA